UGAUUCCGAGAACGAUGUUCCGCGCAGAGCUGGCAGGUCCACGCGCCACUGCAGGAGCCAGACCUAGGCCGGCCCCGGACACCGAUAGCCAAUGGCCCUGCCCGGUCCCCCCUCCACCCCGCCGCGCCCAAGAUUUGCGGGAUUGGCUGUGCGUGCCGCGGCCCUCCACCCCGCCCCGCCCAGAGGCUUCCCGGGAUUGGCUGAGCUCCCCGACCUCUCCAGGGAUGGGCUGCGCGCCCCGCCCUAGCCCAGAGUCUUCCCAGGAUUGGCUGCGCGCCCCGCGGCCCUCCCCUUUCCGCCCCGCCCCGCGCCGCCUCUCCGGUUUGUGCGCCGGGCUCAGGUCUCCCGCCUCUUUGUCCGCUGGAGUUGCGCGGGCAGACACGCCACUGCUUUGUAGCAGAUCUCAGGCGGGCCACAUGUGCGGCGACAGAACCUAACCCCGGCCGACCUUGAGUUCCAGGAGUUCGUCUCCUACCUCUGCGGAAGUGCGGCGGCCUCAUAGGUAGCAAAGGUUGACAACUACAGGUAAAAGCCAUUGAAGCUGGGAUGUCCUGAUGCUGGUAUUUGAAUUGAUUUAGACCAACUAUCCCUUCAGUUACAGUAAGAAAAUGCCUCUAAUAGGAUUACUAACUUGUAGCAACCACGUGUCCAUGCAGUGCCACAGGAGCUACAGCAGCUGGACAAGGCUGGUGGCAACAGGGCAGUAUAGCCGAUGUUUCAUGUUCAUCUUUUAAUUUAAUUCUCAUAAUUUGGAGGUUGAUUUUGUUCUCCCAUUUCACAUGUAAAAAAAUGGAUUAGGGGUAAAUCCAGUGUUAUGGAAUGUGAGUAUCUCUGAAUGAGAGGCUUCACGUGACUUCUGGAAAGUCACUUGCCUCUUGAGAUUUAGUUUCCUGGUAUAACAGUUAAAAGACUUUAAGCAAACUAGGAAAGGACCAUGGAAGAAUAUAAGCUCUUUGGCCGGGCACGGUGGCUCACUCCUAUAAUCCCAGCACUUUGGGAGGCUGAGGCGGGUGGAUCACGAGAUCAAGAGAUCGAGACCAUCCUGGUCAACAUGGUGAACCUCCAUCUCUACUAAAAAUACAAAGAUUAGCUGGGUAUGGUGGCACGUGCCUGUAAUCCCAGCUACUUAGGAGGCUGAGGCAGGAGAAUCGCUUGAACCCAGGAGGCGGAGGUUGCGGUGAGCCGAGAUCGCGCCAUUGCACUCCAGCCUGGGUAACGAGUGAAACUCCGUCUCAAAAAAAAAAAACAUUUAUAAGCUCUUAGUAUUCAUUGCAUUGAACUUAGAAGGUUCACAAAAUUGGGCACAAAAGGAUUUGUGUCAGCAUAUUCUGUUUGUGUGUGGCACAAGGAAGUGUAAAGGGAUUUAAAAGGACACAGAGGUGCUACAUUGUUAGAAUAGGAAAGUUUUCAUGUGGGAGAAAACUGUCAAGCAAGUUCACUCCUAUUAACCAGUCUGCUGCGUGUCUAGCAAUUGAGGUCUCAUUACUCUGUAAGUCAGUUAAAAGCGACUCAUUCUCCAGAACUUCUAAAUAAAAGUAUUUAAUAUUUA